CUCCCUAGUAGCGGCGAGCGAGCGGGAAGAGCUCAAAUUUAUAAUCUGGCACCUUCGGUGUCCGAGUUGUAAUCUCUAGAAGUGUUUUCCGCGUUGGACCGCACACAAGUCUGUUGGAAUACAGCGGCAUAGUGGUGAAACCCCCGUAUAUGGUGCGGACGCCCAGCGCUUUGUGAUACACUUUCAAUGAGUCGAGUUGUUUGGGAAUGCAGCUCAAAUUGGGUGGUAAAUUCCAUCUAAAGCUAAAUAUUGGCGAGAGACCGAUAGCGAACAAGUACCGUGAGGGAAAGAUGAAAAGCACUUUGGAAAGAGAGUUAACAGUACGUGAAAUUGUUGGAAGGGAAACGCUUGAAGUCAGACUUGCUUGCCGGAGCUUGCUUCGGUUUGCAGGCCAGCAUCAGUUUUCCGGGGUGGAUAAUGACGGUUUGAAGGUAGCAGUCUCGGCUGUGUUAUAGCUUUCCGUUGGAUACGCCCUGGGGGACUGAGGAACGCAGCGUGCUUUUUGCGAAAGACUCGUCUUUUUCACGCUUAGGAUGCUGGUGGAAUGGCUUUAAACGACCCGUCUUAA
rnacentral:rRNA from 1 species